rnacentral:rRNA from 1 species
CCUACGGGAGGCAGCAGUGGGGAAUAUUGGGCAAUGGGCGAAAGCCUGACCCAGCAACGCCGCGUGAAGGAAGAAGGCUUUCGGGUUGUAAACUUCUUUGACAGGGGAAGAGCAGAAGACGGUACCCUGAAAACAAGCCACGGCUAACUACGUGCCAGCAGCCGCGGUAAUACGUAGGUGGCAAGCGUUGUCCGGAUUUACUGGGUGUAAAGGGCGUGUAGCCGGGAAGACAAGUCAGAUGUGAAAUCUGGAGGCUCAACCUCCAAAUUGCAUUUGAAACUGUUUUUCUUGAGUACUGGAGAGGCAGACGGAAUUCCUUGUGUAGCGGUGAAAUGCGUAGAUAUAAGGAGGAACACCAGUGGCGAAGGCGGUCUGCUGGACAGCAACUGACGGUGAGGCGCGAAAGCGUGGGGAGCAAACAGGAUUAGAUACCCUUGUAGUC